UUAGUGCAGUCCGAGCGCUUGCUCGCUCUCUCUCCCUCUCGCUCUCUGUCUCUCCCUCUCUCCCUCCCUCAAUCCCUCCAGAGCUCACUCCAACAAACAAACGGCACAGUGGACUGCCAUCAGCCCCUUCAUCCAAUUUGCCUCCAUCCAAAUGGUUCUUCUCACUGCAGCAGUACGGCUAUAUCAAGAGACAGUGAAACUAUGGGCAUAGUAGACAAAUGGUGAGGUUUCAAGGAGGAGAAAUGUAAACAACAUGGAAGAAAAAAAAAAAGUUUCAAAUAGAUAUGUGUAGAAGAAGAUCUGGGAAGACAAUAGAGACAGAGGCAGACACACAAGCCCGAAAGACAGCGCAUGUUUGUAUAGUCACACAGGAACGUCACCGAGGUCACGGCGGCUCCAUUUGUGGCACCGUGGCAACGGACGACUGAUUAGAGAUGCCAUCUGCAUGGCACUCCGAGUAGGACACAUUGUCCGACCGUGCAGUCGCAGUGAGUGAUCACCCUGUCGAAGCGUUAAUUACAAAACCAUUUCAACUUCCCACAGUGCUUUUCUCCUAAGGUUUAAAGUUCUACUCCGCGUGCCAAGGAAAACAGACUGUAAUGGACAUUUUCUGGCCGAGCAAUUAUGUGAAACGCCACUGCCCUCCAGUUUUUUUGUUUGUGACGGUUUUGUGGCACAGAAACCUCUGGUCUGGGGAAAAGUGCAAAAGUUCAGGCCAGCUUUCGUCUGCUGAUUUGUUUUUACUUGUCCAAGCGCUCCAAAAUAUCUCUGUAUCUCCCCAUAACAGCCCCCUCAAUUGUACAGAACUGCCCAGUUAAAUGUUAACUUUUAUGGCAACACACACUUAAAGACAUGACAUGAUAUAUUCUUUUGACCACUUUAUGGUGUGAAUUAGUGGUUUGAUGUCUUUUUUCUUUGUUUUGUUUUGUUUGGGUUUUUUGAAAGGUUGUCAGCUGGAGCUGCGCUACGUCGUGAUGAGAAUGAUAAGGGCCUGACGAGGAAACCGCGGCCGUUAUAUAGCCUAUAUAUAUAAACGUCCAUAUAGUAGAUCUCAUAAUGUAGAACUCGUUUUAGUGCGUCUUCUGUUUUGUGUGCUGUGCACUUCAAGUCAGACAUUUAAAUGCAAAAGAAGAUAUUCAUAAACAUUUCAAUAGAGUAUAUUGAUGCACAUUCUUUGUAUAUUGCAAAGGAACCAUCUGUUUACAUUGCCUGCUCUAUAUGCCAUUUUCCCAGCAAUUGCAUUAAUCCCUCGACGAUGGUGAGUUUGUUUUGACUUGAUAAAGUUUGGAUGACUUCCCCCAA